rnacentral:lncRNA from 1 species
UAUUGGUCUCUUAUGUAUAUCAUAAAUAAAUUCAUAUGCAUUUACAGUGUAUGUUAAGAUUUGGAAUUAAAUACAAACACUGAAGCUCACUGAUAGAAGGCUUUUCGGGAAGGACACCUACCAAUAAGGAGUACAACAUAUCUAGCACCAGGAAUCGCAUCAUAACCUUCUUAGUGAUCCAACAGAUCGCCAUCAGUGAUCAGAUAAAUGACUCGGACUGGUCCACAGGGCCUCUACAACAGAUCCAGUUGUACAAUUUCUGUGUAUUAAAGCUGAAGAAGGGCUUCUUGAGGAUAUUAAGAAAGUCUUCUUGAGGAUAUUAAGAAGCACUAGUCCAGUAACUCCUUGGGCCUCUUCUUGUCGCUCAAGUAGGAUGUGUCUCUUUUAGGACGAAAAGAUCUCUGUGGAAGCCAAGGUGUCACAUGAACGACAGAUGGCUUGCAUAGGACUCCGAGGACGUGUUCUCAUAGACAAAACUAAGUAACUGGCAUCUGUGCACGUCCUGUUCGUGUUCAUGCAAGAGGAAGUGCAGGGUGUGUCAAGCCAAAUAUAAAGGUCGGAAUGUAGAGCCUCUCAACUGUUCCAUCUGCAGCUUGAAUAAAAGGUUCCAACAAGAGUGCUCACCUUAACGUGGGCUCCCUGAGACAACGUAAUCAAUCUUCCUCUCCUCUUUUUUCACCUAUUUCGGACAAUCAAUAUAGUUUUAAAAUCGGUUCAGGACUAAUUCAUUUUCAUAAAAUGUGUCAUGUAGGAUUUAAAUCCAAAUACAUCUUUUCAUUCCGUCGUUAGGUCUUGAAAUGUAAUUGCAUCGUUUACAUUGGACUCCUAUUAGGAAAAUGUAUUGAUUUUUAUUUACUUUUUUCUACUCGAAUACAGUUUUGUUUAUUAAUAAAAUGAUUUAUUUU